GCUCAAAUUUAUAGUCUGGCACCUUCGGUGUCCGAGUUGUAAUCUCUAGAAGUGUUUUCCGCGUUGGACCGCACACAAGUCUGUUGGAAUACAGCGGCAUAGUGGUGAAACCCCCGUAUAUGGUGCGGACGCCCAGCGCUUUGUGAUACACUUUCAAUGAGUCGAGUUGUUUGGGAAUGCAGCUCAAAUUGGGUGGUAAAUUCCAUCUAAAGCUAAAUAUUGGCGAGAGACCGAUAGCGAACAAGUACCGUGAGGGAAAGAUGAAAAGCACUUUGGAAAGAGAGUUAACAGUACGUGAAAUUGUUGGAAGGGAAACGCUUGAAGUCAGACUUGCUUGCCGGAGCUUGCUUCGGUUUGCAGGCCAGCAUCAGUUUUCCGGGGUGGAUAAUGACGGUUUGAAGGUAGCAGUCUCGGCUGUGUUAUAGCUUUCCGUUGGAUACGCCCUGGGGGACUGAGGAACGCAGCGUGCUUUUUGCG
rnacentral:rRNA from 1 species